GGGGACCAGAGUCAGGGUCCCCAGCAGGAGCGACGACUGGUCGAGGUUGGCGGUGGCACUGCCCACUUGCACUGCGCCCAGUGCGCCCCCGUGCGCUGGGUGUACCCUAGACCAGGGAGCGCUCAGGCCCCGCCGGGGGCGCGGAGACCUGGCGGGGUAACUCGGAGGUCUACGGGAAGGCUAGAAAGAGGAGAGCGGAGACCCCAGGACAUCCCUCCCCCGCCGCCACCUAAAUCAGACUGAGGCUGAGAGAAUUAACCGAGUCGGAAGAGGAGUAAACAGCCCUGCCUCUGGCUCCAGCUGUCCCGCCAGAGAACGCGCAGCGGAAACCCCGAGGGUGAGAAUGAGGACGAGCCUCGAGCUGCGUGAACCCGGGCGCCCAGUAGGCUCUCAGGAAUCGCCGGCUUGUAGGUGGACGCCGAGCCUGAAAGUGAGGAGCCUGGGUCGUGCAUGCGAAAAUCAACAUGGGACUCUAAAUAAAACGAGUUUCUGCAGGCAUUCAUUCAUUCAACAGAUGAACGCCCACGGUCCUCAUCACCUCU